rnacentral:rRNA from 1 species
UAAUCAUUUGUCUAUUAAUUGUAGACCCGUAUGAAAGGCAAAAUGAAAGUCUAACUGUCUCUUAUAAUAAAUCAAUUAAACUGAUCCCCUAGUUCAAAAGCUAGAAUAUCAACAUAAGACCAGAAGACCCUGUGAAGCUUUAACUAACCUAUUAAAUCCAAUAAUAGCUACUUUCGGUUGGGGCGACCUUGGAAAUAAAGAAAACUUCCAAAUAACAUGACUUCAUUCAUACCACUAGGCCAACAAGCCAUUAUAAGAUCCAGUAUAUCUGAUUAAUGAAACAAGUUACUCCAGGGAUAACAGCGCUAUCUUCUUCAAGAGUCCAUAUCAAAAAGAAGGUUUACGACCUCGAUGUUGGAUCAGGACANCCUGGUGGUGCAACCGCUACNAAGGGUU